AGCAGCCGCGGUAAUUCCAGCUCCAAUAGCGUAUAUUAAAGUUGUUGCAGUUAAAAAGCUCGUAGUUGAAUUUCGGGGUUAGUAGGUUGGUCAUGCCUCUGGUAUGUACUGGUCUCACUGAUUCCUCCUUCCUGAUGAGCCGUAAUGCCAUUAAUUUGGUGUUGCGGGGAAUUUGGACUGUUACUUUGAAAAAAUUAGAGUGUUUAAAGCAAGCUAACGCUUGAAUACAUUAGCAUGGAAUAAUGAAAUAGGACGUUUGAUUUUAUUUUGUUGGCUUCUAGGAUCGACGUAAUGAUUAAUAGGGAUAGUUGGGGGCAUUAGUAUUCAAUUGUCAGAGGUGAAAUUCUUGGAUUUAUUGAAGACUAACUACUGCGAAAGCAUUUGCCAAGGAUGUUUUCAUUAAUCAAGAACGAAAGUUAGGGGAUCGAAGACGAUCAGAUACCGUCGUAGUCUUAACCAUAAACUAUGCCGACUAGGGAUCGGAUGAUGUUAAUUUUUAAUGACUCAUUCGGCGCCUUAC
rnacentral:rRNA from 1 species